UGAAAAUCCCCCUACCUAUCUUGAAAGCAUACCCUGGAGUGAGAGGUUGUUUUCUCAAUUAAAAUUUAUCUUUUCAGGUGUUUUGUAGAAGUCUAAAGACUCAGUCAGUGGGCAUGAGUCAUCUGGCUGUGGUAAGAUUAGAAAUUCCUAACACAUGAUAUAGGAGGCCAGUGCUCCAGGAGGCAGAGAAAAUGAAGGAAAACAGCUUUCUACAGCUCUUACCCCCACAACCCCCAUCUCUCUGUAACUUAAUUUUUCUUCUCAAGUUUCGAACAAGUACAGAUAGAACAACUUGUUUUCUAAUCUUUUUCUCUUUUUCUCAUUCCUCUUCUUUCUUUAUUCUUCUUUUCCCCCCUCUUUUUGUUUCCUUUUCCUGACUCUUGAAAACCAUGGCAAGUGCUUAUUAUUUCAGUUGAAUAUGUUAAAAAUUGUUAUCAAGAAGUUGAUUUUUUGUGUAUAAAAAUGGUGAACUAAGAUACUGUUAAAAGAGUGGAAUAAAUGAAGAGGAGAGACAGAAGAACCAAAGAUGGGAAAAGGACUGGAAAAGAAAAAGAGACUAAAAGGAAGAGGCUGAAAACUUAAAAAAUUGGAUGAAAAUUAUGAAGAUAGUCUGACAUGAUAUAUUAAGAGCUCUGAAUGAUGCCUAGGGAUGUAGAAGAGGAGAAAAACACUUGA
rnacentral:lncRNA from 10 species